rnacentral:rRNA from 1 species
CGGGUAAUCUGCCCUCGAUUCUGGGAUAGCCCGGGGAAACCCGGAUUAAUACCGGAUAGCCUCUCGAGCUUUCGAGCUCGUGAGAAAAGGUAGCUUCGGCCUCCGAUCGAGGAUGAGCCCGCGGCGGAUUAGCUUGUUGGUGGGGUAAUGGCCUACCAAGGCGACGAUCCGUAGCUGGUCUGAGAGGACGAUCAGCCACACGUGGGACUGAGGCACGGCCCAGACCUCCGUACGGGAGCA